rnacentral:rRNA from 1 species
UCUAGUGACUAUGGCGAAGAGGUCACACCCGUUCCCAUGCCGAACACGGAAGUUAAGCUCUUCAGCGCCAAUGGUAGUUGGGGGUUUCCCCCUGUGAGAGUAGGACGUUGCUAGAC